GGUCAAUCCCUCAUGGACCUCGUCACUGGUCGCCGACUACCGGUCUUUGCGACACGUUGCAUCUUUCUCACACGUUAUUUUAAUUUAGCCUUUUGUGUCUUCUGUUUGCAUUAGGCUUCGGAGAAGAAACUAUCCAACCCCAUGCGAGAAAUCAAGGUGCAGAAGCUGGUUCUCAACAUCUCCGUCAGCGAGAGUGGCGAUCGUCUCACCAGAGCCGCAAAGGUGUUGGAGCAGCUUAGUGGCCAAACCCUAGUGUAGAAUGUUAAUAAAUCAGUUCCCUUAAUUUAACUAACAUGUAAUUGAGGAUAGGGUCAAAAAAUGUGAUUUGAGUCAGCUGACCUUUUAGAAAGUUGUUUGCUACUGCACUUAUGUGUCUAUAGUAUUCAUAUGAUAGGCGUUUUGAUCCGUGUCUGUGUCUUGGAGGCACGCUGCAUUUGCCUGUGAUUUCAGUAUUAAGGAUUAUGAUAAAACUGUGGCCUUGGUUUGUUGUGUGUUACAACUUAAAACCUUGUUUGGAAAGUCACGCAACAACCUUGCUACAAUAUUUCCUAACAGGUAUUGAAGCAGGUUACAAGUAUUGAAGCUGAAAGAAAUGAGAUGGAAUGUUCAUACAACAUCAAAAGUUCAGAUAUAAAAUAAAACAGUCUCCUGCACUCAAAAGGAAUGCAGAUUCCAAAUAAGACUUUAAGAUAAAUAAAUCAAAAGGAAAGGAAUCACUCUACGUCAAACUUGUACAACUUACCAGCUAAAAUUUUUACUCAUAUUUUAUACAAGAUCAAACAUUACUCAUUUACAAAUUAGAUAAUUAAUUAAAUGUUGAGAUGUGCAUGCAAUUAACAAUGUUUUAUGUAAGGGGGAAAACGAAAGAAGAAGAAAAAUAAAACCAAUAUUGGGAGAUGGGAAAGGUUAAUAGUUAAUAUAUUACUCCAAUGGAUAGUUUGUCUUUAUUCUUUGAUUUUAUAAGUUUGUUUACAUAUACAGAUUAAUCCAUUCCAAGGCGUUCAUGGAGUGAGUCUCGGACCGUAAACCACAUCAUCAUCAUACUCAUCAAAUCCGAGCACCCCGAAGAAUGGUGGGUCCACCGCUUCCAUAGAUUGUGAUUCUGAUUGUGACUAUGACAAGCUAGAGCUAUUACUCGGAACUCUAUCACAACUCUCCAACAGCCUCUGAAAGUUUAUCUUUUAGCUUCAAUACCUAACAGGCAUAUUUCCUUCAAGUGCCUUUUUUUCGUAUCGUGUACUGUGUGACUGGAGUGGGUUUCCUCUUUUUGCAUUUUUGUGCUUGUCAAUUGAAUUUGAUGCAUUUUACUUUUGUCAUCAGUGAUUUUGUUUCUCUUAUCUUUGCUCUUAAUUUGGAAAGCGGUGCUAGCAACACCUUUGAUCGCGACCUACGAUGGCUGAUUGGAUGGAGGCUGAGGCGGGCGCGCAUGAGCGGAGGAGACGAGCGAUUUUGGGGUUCCUCUGGUUCUCUUUGGAUUCAAGUGGAGGAUGCAGAGACCAAUUGGUCUGGUGGGAGAGGCGAAAAACCUUGAUGGGUUUCGGAUUGGUAGAAUGCAGUUGAUUGUCUUUGCUUCUCUAGGAUUUCAAUUCCUCUUCUCCAUUGACCAAAUCCCUAAUUAUCUUUCAAAAAUGAUUCUUUGACACGGUUUAAGUAAAUGACAUUCAUUUGACACGCAGUGGGGCCCAUUCACUGUCAAUGUCAUCAAGGGUAAAUUUGUCAUUUGAUUGCGCUGGUAAAAGAAUAAAUGAAACUGUGCGUUUCAAUGAAGGGAGCUGCUGCAUUAGGGUCCUCUCUCAGAUUUGAAUUUGUCAGGUCGCCCAUUUGAUUUUGAAAGAGGAACUCUUCGUGUGCGUGCUAGGGUUAGGGUUGUGAGAGAAUGCGAGAACUCUUCAUGACUGCCACUUAACCGGAGACUGGACCAGAUCGGAAAAGUUCGAACCAGCGAACUCAAAGUAGAUGAUCGGUGUGGAGCGCGGAAGGCUUUUACCAUGGUCUCCGUCCACCGCAAUGCUGCUAUCAACGACCUCGCCCUACAUUCGUCCAAUCAACGCGCCAUCACCAUUGCCCGUGACAACUGCCUUGCCGUCGUCAAUUUCGUCCGCGGCCGCUGCAACUGAUGCUUGCGCCUCAACAAGGAACUUACUCUGGUCAAGUUCAAUGCGCCCAGUGACCACUUUUUUAUGGUUACGAAGGAGAAGGUUUUUGUCCACCAGACUGAGGAUGCACGCAUAUUGUUCGAAUUGGAAUGCUCCAAGCCCGUUCUAUGUGCUUCUUCAAAUUCUUGCCCUGUUUUCUCGAAUUAUCAUCGAAUAUCAAGUUGGUUAUUUUUAUUUUCUCUAUUUCUUCCUUUGGUGAUGCUGAUUUGUCUUGUAUGUUAAAAAUACCUAGGGUUUAGGUAGCAUUUGAUAAAGAAAUUUUGGUAUAUUGUCACUAGUUAUGUUUUUCGGGCGUCAAAUAUUUGUGAUGUUUUGCAGUGGGAAGAUUUUACACAGAUUUUGGAGACUAUUUUGAAGCAUCAAUUUUACCUCAUUGUACCCAUGUCAAUUCUAAUUCUUCUAAAACAAAUUGCAUAUAAAAUUUAGAUCUGAUGUAAUUAUUGAUUUGUUGCUUGCUUACUACAUGUAUCCUCCACAUGGAAGAAGAGCAAAUGCUAUAGAGCAAGACCAUGUCUAAAUUAACAAAGUCAACAAAAGAGGCAGUUGUGGCUACUUUGAAGUCUAUUAUAUAUAAAAAUGAUCUACAUUUUUCUCAAUUAUUCAUUCUAAUUUGUACCCUUAAUCUUGUAUGCCUUGAUUGAUAGGUUGGAAGAAGAAUAAUGCAUGAUUCAUAUUGGAAGUAUAUGCUGGAUUAUGUAUGGAAACCAUUCUAAAUGUGAUAAUGUGGUUGAUCUCAUGGCAAAGUUCAUCUUAUCUUGUUUAUGUUACUUUCUAUCAUAUGAUUAGCCUUUGUUAAUUUCCAUGGUACAUAAAUGUUAUACUGAGUUUUCAUCAUUGAAUAGGUACCCAAUUUAUAUUGUCCCAAGUCGAAACAAUGAAAAGGAAUUGGAAGCAUGCUUUCUCACUUACCAUACUCUGUCAUCAUCUUUCGAAGAUAAGCAUGCCAAAGAGUAGAUUAUACUAUAUUUCUUUCUAAAGGCUAUUUGAAGAGAGAUUAAUAUUUGAAGAGCCUGGUUGGAGUAAGAAAAAUAUUGUCAAGGAUUUCUAAGGAAACAUCAUAGGAUGCUUUGAACAACACACCUUGUCUGCUUCCUACAUGGAUUUCUAAGUUUUCUUCUCAAUAAGUAAGUUUAUACUUUAGUUGAUUGCAUGUGUUUUUAAUGUAUCACUCUAGUAACAUGUUUGGAUCACUCUAAUGACAAGUUCAACCUUAAUGUAUACAUACUAGUUUUUUCCAAAGUUUUCUGCAUAGUUUAUCAUCUUUAGUUGGUUGAAUGUUGGGACACUGGGUUAUUGAAAUCAUAAAUGUUGCUUGUUAGCAGUAAUUUGGAUUGGAAUGUGAAUUAUUCUAUGAUAACAACUCUUCAUUUUUUCCCUUUAGAUUAAGACUUAGCUCGUUACCUUGUGUUUAUCAUCAACAGGAGAAUGAUGGUGUUCUUCAUAGUUUUGUAAUAAUCAUAUCAUUUGAACCAAGAGCUUUAGUGACAAAUUGGAAGUUGUAAUAAGGAAGAACUUUAUGUGGGUUGUCAUGAAAAGAUAUAAAUCUAAGGUAGACUAAUGGAAUCCUACUAUUCUUUGGCAUAUAGAGAGCUUCUGAUAUAAUGUGUAAAUCUGAAUAGUUCCUAAGGGCUUUUGUAGAUCAGUUAGAAAUGGUCAUGCCGACUUGGAAUCACACUACACUUUCAUGACCAAAUAUACCAUUCUGCCGAAGGAUGUACAUUUCUUAUAGUCUUUCUGAAAGUGUGUGACUGAGUAUAAUUGUAGUUCUUUGAAUAAAUUUUUUGGUAUAUUUAUACAACAAACUUAGAUGCAGAAGCUACUAUUAGUUGCUUGUAUUGUGGUUUAUGGUGAUGGUUUGUUGAGAUGUGGAUCACUGAUGGUAAUUUAAACAUGCAUGCAGUUCCUCAAGUGUUUUUAUGCUGCCUGUAAUCAGUCUCUAUCACCUUUAAUCUGGAUACUAAAUAUUUAUAUUAAAGAUCACCAAAAACAUAUGAGGAACUACUUCGAAUUUUUUCUGCUCAUAUUUAUAUUAGGUCAUAAUGUUUUUCUAUAUAAUGAUGAUGAGGAUUAUAGAAUAUAAUUGUAUAUGGUUUUAUUAAAAUAAUGCUGAGGUUUUAUUCUUACCCGGUUACCAAAUUAUAAAUCUCAGAAGUUUUGGAGAGUGAAAAUAGUAUUCUAAAAUUUUUGGAAAUUUUUUCACUCAGUGGUCAGGUUUUCCUUUGUUUAUAGUUUUAUGUUGUUUAGUUUAUGUAGGCAAUUGUUAGUGUUACUUUUGGCAUUAUUCAUGUUAAACUUUUUGUUUCUAAUUAUUUCUUUUUGAAUUAGUGGUGGUGGCCUAUACAAGUUGCUUCAUACCCUGACUCUGAAUGCUUCUAAGUACAUUUUACAAGCUCUGAUAAGUACUUGAUUGGAUUCUCUCUUGCAUGUUACGUGUACUUGAUUUGAUUGUGUGUUCAUAUCACAUCAAUUACCCAAAACUUUUCUAAAAAGAAGCAUGAUGAGUACAAUAUUUUUAUAAUUUGAGUGUACACACAUGUUCAUGGUGAAUUUGAGUACGUAUCUUAAAAUUAAUUUAUUAUUUUAUUUUAUUUAUGUAAUUUCGUUUCAUGCAAUCCCUUUUUCACUGUUUUCAUCAAACCUUCUCAUGAGAUGGAAUAUCGGCUGGUGGGUAAAUCUUAAACAUGAAACACAUGUUGAUUUAGUCUUCGGUUCUCUGCUCUACAUUCAAACUCUUGCUAUAAAAAUAUAUCUUAUGCAGUGCAUACCAGAUUUGGAAGGCAUUAUUGGUAAGAAGUGUGCGGUGCUGCAGCAUGGGGAAAGAUAGUGGAAAGUAAAGUUAUUUAAUAAAAGUUAUUUUGGUCGUCAUAGUUUUGGUGCUGGCGUUUUUGACAGAAAAUGAAUUGAAAGCAGGAGAUGUUUGUGUAUUUGAACUUAUUAGCAAGAAGGAUGGUAUUUUUAAAGCUCAUAUUUUCUAAAAGGAUCACUAAUUUGUCUGCAUGAAAGCUGUGGUCUUGCUGAGGAAUUUGAAAGAAAAUGUUGUAAAGAAACAAAGAUAUUGUAAUGGGGUGUUCCCAAGUAUUAGACAUUUAAAGAGUGUUACUGUUAUGUAAUCAACCAGUUAUGUUUAUUGAAAUAUAGUACUGCAUUAGGUGA